UACAGAGGGGGCAAGCGUUGUUCGGAAUUACUGGGCGUAAAGGGCGCGUAGGCGGCCUGCUAAGUCGAACGUGAAAUCCCCGGGCUCAACCCGGGAACUGCGUCCGAUACUGGUUGGCUUGAAUCCGGGAGAGGGAUGCGGAAUUCCAGGUGUAGCGGUGAAAUGCGUAGAUAUCUGGAGGAACACCGGUGGCGAAGGCGGUUCUCUGGGCAUUACCUGACGCUGAGGAGCGAAAGUGUGGGGAGCGAACAGG
rnacentral:rRNA from 1 species